rnacentral:rRNA from 1 species
UACGAAGGGGGCUAGCGUUGCUCGGAAUCACUGGGCGUAAAGGGUGCGUAGGCGGGUCUUUAAGUCAGGGGUGAAAUCCUGGAGCUCAACUCCAGAACUGCCUUUGAUACUGAAGAUCUUGAGUUCGGGAGAGGUGAGUGGAACUGCGAGUGUAGAGGUGAAAUUCGUAGAUAUUCGCAAGAACACCAGUGGCGAAGGCGCUCACUGGCCCGAUACUGACGCUGAGGCACGAAAGCGUGGGGAGCAACAGGG